AAUUCUCAACCCUUAUCAACUUUGUGCUGAUAAUGGGCUUGGAUAUGGGGGUUUUUUUGCUGGCUUCUUCACAGAUGGUCAGCUCCCCUGAAAUGCAUUAGCUGGUGCCCCGCGUGGACUGUCUAUUGGUGUGAUAAUUAUCUACGCUGUGGACAUCUACAAUCAUAUGGGUUUGCACUGCUUCUAACUGUCUGUUUAUUCAGACAAUACAUGACUA
rnacentral:misc_RNA from 1 species